rnacentral:misc_RNA from 1 species
UCCGGUUUAACACCGGCAGUCCCGUUAGAGUGCCCAGCAUGACCUGGUAGCAACUAACGGCAGGGGUUUCGUUCGUUAGAGGACUUAACCCUACACUUCACAGCACGAACUGACGACAGCCAUGCAGCACCUGUGCACGUUCCACCCUUGCGGGUGUGGGUCGCCUUUCGGCGACUUAAUCCGUGCAUGUCAAGCCUUGGAUAAGGUUCUUCGCGUUGCUUCGAAUUGAGCCACAUGCUCCACCGCUUGUGUGAGCCCCCGUCAAUUCCUUUGAGUUUUAGCCUUGCGACCGUACUCCCCAGGCGGUGCACUUAAUGAUUUUUCGUCGACCCCGGGGGCGUCAGAGCCCUCGAGGUCUAGUGCACAUCGUUUACGGCGUGGACUAC